AAUUCGGUAGGUGAGGUUACCGCAGGGAUUUGGUCAUACCUAAGAUUGCUGCCGCAAAGUUGUGGAGACACAACGCGCUGGUCAGCAGGAGAUGUCGAUGAAGGCAUCACCUAAUGCAAUUUGAUAUGCCCUGCGAUGCUAAAACUUGUACGAA
rnacentral:sRNA from 1 species